GACAUUUCGAUUUUGACAGCUGUAUUGGAAUAAUGUAAAUAAAUAAUUGUAAAUUUCGUGUUUAAAAUGGAAUUUUGUAAUGGGUAAUGCUUUACCAGGAAAUGCCCACCCACGUUCUGGUGGACAGGGACAAAGCCCGUUUGGACAGUCUCCAUUCGGGCAGGGGCAGAGUCCAUUUGGGCAGGGUCAGGGUCCAUUUGGGCAGGGGCAGAGUCCAUUUGGGCAGGGGCAGAGUCCAUUUGGGCAGGGGCAGACUCCAUUCGGACAGGGACAGACUCCAUUUGGACAAGGACAGACUCCAUUCGGGCAGGGGCAGACUCCAUUUGGGCAGGGGCAGACUCCAUUUGGGCAGGGGCAGACUCCAUUUGGGCAGGAUCAGACUCCAUUUGGCUCACCAGAUAUAAGACAGCAAGCGCCUUUAGGGCAAGAUCCACAAGGACAAGUCACCGGUCCACAAAGCAAUCCUGCAAAUGUGUCUCCACCGCCAUAUGGUCAACAAGGGCUGCAAUACCCACCGAGCUAUCAACAAGCACCACCUGGUUACCCAUAUCCUGUGCAGGGACAGCACGGAUAUCCAGGGGGACCGGGAUAUCCACCUCAAGGUUACCCCGGGCAUCCUGGACAUGGAUCGGGAUAUCCAGCAGCACCACCCACCCCUGGUAUCGCAGAUAUGGCAUGCUGUGCAUCAUGCAUGGCUUGUCUCAGCUGUCUCCUCUGUUCGUGCUGUCAGGUCUAAUGCCGUAAUUCACAUUUUCGAAGGGAUAAAAUAAAAAUAUGUUGGACACCAUUCGCUCCAUCUAGGGGAUCACAAGACAUUAAGUAUGGAAUAAUCUGAUGGGGGGUGGAAUGGGUCACGGUGGUGACCAUUAUAACGAUGAAAAUUCAGGAGAAGAACACGCUGAUGUGGAGCCACCAGAUAUAGCUCAUGAUAAUGACAGAUAAGACAGAAAUUCAAGACUAAAAUUAUUGUUUUUUAUUUUUUUAUUGUGUAUUUGAAAAGUAUUUUCUUAA